GGUCAUUUUAAUUGUUGUUUAAUUUAAUUAGUUUAAUUGUUAUUAUAGUUAUUUUAAUUUGCUUAAAUGCUUCCAAAUAGAUAGCUAUGUGUAUGUGUAUGUGUUUGUGUAUGUGUAUACUUAUGUGUAUGUGUAUGUGUAUGUGUGCAGUAUGUGUAUGUGUAUGUGUAUGUGUGUGUGUGUGUGUGUGUGUGUGGCCUGUGUUACUGCCUGAAUGGCUGCUAUAGGACCUCCUGUUUUCCAGCCAGAUCUCUGAAUAUAAGUGCUCUAAUUGCUCAGAAAAUUAUAUCCAAUGCUGAUUGCAAGUGACAUGGCCUGGCAGUACAGUGACAUUGUGAUGCCUCUUACCUUCCCUCCCUCCGUUUCUCCUCUGCUUCUCCAGAUCCCUCUCCUAUACUAUGUCAUUCCCUGGUGACCGCAGCAAUGCCCCUGGUGACCGCCUGCUGCCCUCUUCUUGUUGAAGCUGUCGAGUGCUGAGAUGUCCCAAAGUUCAAUCUUGUCAUGCUCAGGCAUCGCUUUCUGCCACCCUCUAUCCAUCAACCGAGCUCUGCCUGACUUGGAAGUUAAUGUCAAGCUGAUGUGGAGUGACAGUGGGCGCCCUGUCUGGCAGGCCCAGAGUGCGGGCCACCAUAUUGCCUGGCUCCCCAGGGAGGACAGAUCAGCAUGCCAGCCUUGCCAGAAAGUGCUAAUAGGCGCAACACGUCUUACUUUCACACAUUAAGGCGAGCAAAGGGUGACAUAUCGGAGCUGUGAUACUGCCGCAUGGAAAAAAGGUCUGCGCCACCCGUUUGCCAUGCGGCAACAGCUAAUGAUGAGCGCUGCUAAGCUGCGCUACAUGUCUGCCAAAUCUGAGCUGAAAUGCAUCCUGACAGAGACCGCCGUGAUACCAGUCACGAGAGCAAAUGAAGCCAACUUACAAAAACACCUGGCUGAUUGCAAAAAGUUUUUAAAAUAGGAGAAAAAUUAGAGAGAAAUAUGUAAUAUUUCAAUUUGGAAUACUGGUUGUUAUUUUUUUUUUCAGCCAUGACUGGGGACUGUGAGUCACUCUUCCUGUUAGUGGAAACAAACUCAUGGUCACACUAACUCUAACUCUAACUCUAUGCAUACUAGUGUGUCACCAACAAGAAAAGGGGGUUUGUGAAAAAAACCACAGAGCUUGCAAGGUGUCACCGCAAAGCCUAAUGAAAACACUAUGGUUUCCACAGAUAUUGAUUUCAUCUAUGGACCAGACCUCUAAUCUGCUUCAGAAACCAAUGAUUUAGAUUUAGAAAUUGUGCAGUUGACAUGUUAAUGUGAUAGGAUGUUUGUUUCCUGUUGUGUUAUUUGUGGAUAUUGCAAAUAAGAGGCAUGCAUACUGCAAUAUAAAAUGUCUUUGAUGAGGUCAUAUUGUUGGUAGAAAAAUGGGGUCACCUGGGCGAAGGUUUGAGCAUGAGGAGGUUUCUUUUGUACAAGUGCAUUGUGCAACAUUUCCGGCAUGAUAUGUGCAGAAAGUGAUUUUUUUAUUCAGUGUUUUUGUCUUGUUUUCCAGUACAAAUAUCUCAAUGUUCUUAAAUCAAGAAACAUUUACUUGAGAAGCAAAAUGAUGUCUAGUAUUUUGGAAAACAAAAUGAAAAUCACUUUUUCCAGUGCAAUGUAUAACAUAUUAAAUGUAGUACAAACUGUACACAGAAUAUUUUGUCAUUUAUUUUGAAAAAAAAAACAAGAAAUGGGCAGAAAUCUUUAAACACCCCUCUUGCCACUGUUGGGUUUAGUUGUAUAAUUGAGGACAAAGGAACAUCAGUCAUGGAUGAAUAACUGAUCCUGAAAAUAAUUGAUUCACUUAUCAAUAACAGAUGUCUCGUCAUCAGCACUACACAUUAUCUUUUCCUUUAUAUUUUUUGUUGACAUUUCUUACCACACAGGUCUCAUU
ensembl:lncRNA